GUCUUCGUGGUGUAGUGGUCAGCACGCUCGAUACGUAAGAGGUCCGUGGUUCGAUUCCCGGAGAAGGCG
rnacentral:tRNA from 1 species